GGUGGUUAUGAAGAUAAAAUGCAAUAAAUGUGUGUGAGGGCAACUGACGAGCCAGGAAGCCUUGGCAUCCAGAGUUAUUACUGGGACGUCAUGGGAAAUGAGGAUAUGGGAACAGAGUAUUUAUGCAUUUAUUCAAACUCAUCUCUAACAACCGUGCUUUGAAGGCUGGCUGCAUCCCAGGCCCUACAGGUGAACCGUGACUCUCAGCUCUCAGCUUCAGCCCCUGCUGUAGUGGCGGCAGCAGCAGAGGCUCACGUAGCCUCAAGCAGUAGGGGUUUUGUUUAAGGAUUCGGGUGCCCCAUGGUUUGGGGGUUUUGUUUUUAUUUUGCUGCAUGAUUUGGAUUCAAGAAGAAGGAUCUGUAGGACAGUGGGCUCCCGGGUCUGCCUUUGCCCUCAUAGCCUGCAGCAGAGCAGGACGUUCGCUUUCCCUUCUCCGCCUGUGUGUUCUUCCUGCACUGCCUAACUGCUGCUUGCUCAUUUGUGCUUCCGUGUCACCCCUCCUCAGCCCUCUGAACUCUGCACGUCAGGACUUGGCACACUUCCUAACUGCUGCUUACUCAUUUGUACUUCCGCGUCACCCCUCCUCAGCCCUCUGAACUCUGCGCUUGGACUUGGUGUGACUUCCCUUCCCCGCCUAUUCUCUAGAGGCAGUCUCUUGGUGACUCCUGGUUUGGGUCAGGGCACGCCUUAGGUCUCUGGAUGGCUACCAACCCCAGGUUCCCUCAGCUCUAGCCCCAUAAGAGAGGAGGCCUCAGGAGCGCCUAGGGCAGCCCUUUCAGCCUGGGCUGUGGGAAGGGAAGGUGGACAGAGAGGAGACCCCAUGCCUUUGUUCCCUGUUGAUGCAGAAGCAUUCUAGGCUCUGUCCCUUAUUCCUGCUGUGGGCUGAAGCUUCAGGCAAGUUAGCCUGGCCUCCAGAGCUCUUGGACUGCAGCACCCAUAAUGAUGGCCAAAGCCGCCCCCACGGCGACUCCUCCUGCUGAAGCAAAGUCAGGCAGAACAAUAAGAUGAGCAUGGUGGUGCAGGCCUGUAAUCUCAGCUCCUCAGGCGGGAGGAUCACUUGAUCCCCGGAAGUUUGAAGCUGGACUGCGCUGACCGCACCUGUGAAUACCACUGCCCGUCAAUCAGCCUAGGGGAAACAUUCUCGAGUGCGAGCAUGACGGCUUAGGUUGAUGUUUUUCAAAUUUUCCCAAUGAUGAGUAUUGUAAGGGACCAAAAUAAAAAAAUGCCAAUGCCUAGUCCCCUCUCAUCUAGAAUAAUUCCAUAGGUGAUGAUGGGGUCCAGGACUCUGAAUUUCGUCAAUUUUACCAAAUACUUCGUCCAGUGAGGCAAAUAUGGAAACACUUGGAUCACCUCUUCGUGAACGCACAUCAGCGCAUACGCCGGCUGUUUUUAUCAGGCGCUCACCCCUCAUCCAAUGGCGUGACUAGUUGUGGGUGGAGCCCGAAAUCUGGCUGCCUAGAGAAGGCUGAAGGUCCAGUUAUAGCAUAACUAAUGUUUCCCCAGAGCUCACAUACGUGCCAAGCACCGUGCUACAGCCUCCACAGCCCCUUCAUUUAAUCUUCCCGAUGGGCCUAUGAAAUAGGUGCUCCUGGCCCGCACCGUGGCUCAUGCCUCUAAUCCCAGCACUUUGGGAAGCUGAGGAGGGAGGGUCGCUUGAGUCCAGGAUUUCAAGACCAGCCUGGGAAACACACAGAGAGCCUAUCUCUACGAAAAUUUAAAAAAUUAGCCGGGUGUGGUGAUGCCUGACUGUGGUCCCACCUACUUAGUAGGCUAAGGUGGGAGGAUCCUCUGAGCCCGGGAAGCUGAGGCUGCAGUUAGCACUGCACUCCAGCAUGGGCGACAGAGUGAGACCCUGACUCAAAAAAAAAAAAAAAAAAGAAUAGGUGCUACUUGUAGUUCCCAUUUUACCCACCAAGAAACUGAAGAUCUGAGAGACAAAGCCUACAGGGUGACCGCUAGUCACUGGUAGGGCUGGGAUUUGAACAGGGGCGGUUUAACAACUGAUCUCUCGACCAUAAUGCGUGUUGCCCAAGAAAAAAGACCGUCCUCACGGUCCUAUCCACUCCGGACUUUGCAAUUCCGUUAUUUCGUAAAUUGAGGCCUAUAAAUAGUUUGCUUACCCGUUGUCUUAGUCCCCAGUAACAUGCAGAACUAAAGAAGAAACUGAAGGAGCACCGAUUUUGUUCACCUUGCUUUUUGGUUUAGUUCUGGAGGAGAACACAGGUGCACUUAGAACAGGAUCCACACUUACCAGAGGCUUGAUUCAUUUUAGCUGCAAAGAAAACCAGUCCUCGUCUAC
rnacentral:lncRNA from 1 species